rnacentral:rRNA from 1 species
GAUGAACGCUGGCGGCGUGCCUAAUACAUGCAAGUCGAGCGAACAGAUGAGAAGCCUGCUUCUCUGAUGUUAGCGGCGGACGGGUGAGUAACACGUGGGUAACCUACCUAUAAGACUGGGAUAACUCCGGGAAACCGGGGCUAAUACCGGAUAAUAUAUUGAACCGCAUGGUUCAAUGUUGAAAGACGGUUUCGGCUGUCACUUAUAGAUGGACCCGCGCCGUAUUAGCUAGUUGGUAAGGUAACGGCUUACCAAUGCAACGAUACGUAGCCGACCUGAGAGGGUGAUCGGCCACACUGGAACUGAGACACGGUCCAGACUCCUACGGGAGGCAGCAGUAGGGAAUCUUCCGCAAUGGGCGAAAGCCUGACGGAGCAACGCCGCGUGAGUGAUGAAGGUCUUAGGAUCGUAAAACUCUGUUGUUAGGGAAGAACAAAUUUGUUAGUAACUGAACAAGUCUUGACGGUACCUAACCAGAAAGCCACGGCUAACUUCGUGCCAGCCGCCGCGGUAA